GGUUAGGGUUAGGUUUAGGUUAGGGUUAGCGCAAUUAGUGGCUAGCGCACUGACAUGCCAUCACAUGGCAUUAAAUAAGAUGCAAAAGGAUGAAAACGCAUACGUGUAGCACGCCAAAUACAAUAAACUGGAGUCACAUACAACACGAUUUCAUGAGAU